AGUGAACGCUGGCGGUAGGCCUAACACAUGCAAGUCGAACGGCAGCACAGUAAGAGCUUGCUCUUACGGGUGGCGAGUGGCGGACGGGUGAGGAAUACGUCGGAAUCUACUUUUUCGUGGGGGAUAACGUAGGGAAACUUACGCUAAUACCGCAUACGACCUACGGGUGAAAGCAGGGGAUCUUCGGACCUUGCGCGAUUGAAUGAGCCGAUGUCGGAUUAGCUAGUUGGCGGGGUAAAGGCCCACCAAGGCGACGAUCCGUAGCUGGUCUGAGAGGAUGAUCAGACACACUGGAACUGAGACACGGUCCAGACUCCUACGGGAGGCAGCAGUGGGGAAUAUUGGACAAUGGGCGCAAGCCUGAUCCAGCCAUGCCGCGUGGGUGAAGAAGGCCUUCGGGUUGUAAAGCCCUUUUGUUGGGAAAGAAAAGCAGCAGGUUAAUACCCCGCUGUUCUGACGGUACCCAAAGAAUAAGCACCGGCUAACUUCGUG
rnacentral:rRNA from 1 species